rnacentral:rRNA from 1 species
GAUGAACGCUAGCGAUAGGCCUAACACAUGCAAGUCGAGGGGCAUCACAUGAAGUAGCAAUACGGAUGGUGGCGACCGGCGCACGGGUGAGUAACACGUAUGCAACCUGCCUUCAACAAGGGGAUAACCCGUUGAAAGACGGACUAAUACCCUAUAACACAGGGGUCCCGCAUGGGAAUAUUUGUUAAAGGACAACCGGUUGAAGAUGGGCAUGCGUUCCAUUAGCUAGUUGGCGGGGUAACGGCCCACCAAGGCAACGAUGGAUAGGGGAACUGAGAGGUUUAUCCCCCACACUGGUACUGAGACACGGACCAGACUCCUACGGGAGGCAGCAGUGAGGAAUAUUGGUCAAUGGACGCAAGUCUGAACCAGCCACGUCGCGUGAAGGAAGACGGCCCUACGGGUUGUAAACUUCUUUUAACGGGAAUAAAGUGCCCCACGCGUGGGGUUUUGCAUGUACCGUAUGAAUAAGGAUCGGCUAACUCCGUGCCAGCAG